GGUUGUGGCUUAAAGGAAGAGCACUCGCCUAGUAUGCAUGAGGCCCUGGGUUUGAUCCUCAGCACCA
rnacentral:tRNA from 1 species